rnacentral:rRNA from 1 species
CUUGCUUUCUUUGCUGGCGACCGGCGCACGGGUGGGUAACACGUAUCCAACCUGCCCUUUACUCGGGGAUAGCCUUUCGAAAGAAAGAUUAAUACCCGAUAGCAUAAUGAUUCCGCAUGGUUUCAUUAUUAAAGGAUUCCGGUAAAGGAUGGGGAUGCGUUCCAUUAGGUUGUUGGUGAGGUAACGGCCCACCAAGCCUUCGAUGGAUAGGGGUUCUGAGAGGAAGGUCCCCCACAUUGGAACUGAGACACGGUCCAA